rnacentral:rRNA from 1 species
GACGAGGGAUCCUAGCGUUGCUCGGAAUUAUUGGGCGUAAAGCGGGUGUAGGUGGCUUGGUAAGUCAGAUGUGAAAGCCCUGGGCUUAACCCAGGAAGUGCAUUUGAUACUGCUAAGCUUUGAGUGCGAGAGAGGUUAAUAGAAUACCUGGUGUAGUGGUGAAAUACGUAGAUAUCAGGUGGAACACCGGAGGCGAAGGCGGUUAACUGGCU